GAUGAACGCUGGCGGCGUGCCUAAUACAUGCAAGUCGAGUGAACAGACGAGGAGCUUGCUCCUCUGACGUUAGCGGCGGACGGGUGAGUAACACGUGGAUAACCUACCUAUAAGACUGGGAUAACUUCGGGAAACCGGAGCUAAUACCGGAUAAUAUAUUGAACCGCAUGGUUCAAUAGUGAAAGACGGUUUUGCUGUCACUUAUAGAUGGAUCCGCGCCGCAUUAGCUAGUUGGUAAGGUAACGGCUUACCAAGGCGACGAUGCGUAGCCGACCUGAGAGGGUGAUCGGCCACACGGGAACUGAGACACGGUCCAGACUCCUAAGGGAGGCAGCAGUAGGGAAUCUUCCGAAAUGGGCGAAAGCCUGACGGAGCAACGCCGCGUGAGUGAUGAAGGUCUUCGGAUCGUAAAACUCUGUUAUUAGGGAAGAACAAAUGUGUAAGUAACUAUGCACGUCUUGACGGUACCUAAUCAGAAAGACACGGCUAACUACGUG
rnacentral:rRNA from 1 species